CCUCAAACUAAUGUGAUGUUACACUUUCAUUUUUGAACUGAACUCAGAAGGCACUGUGACAUAUUCCUGGGAACAGCACCAAGGUUAUCCCACUGUUGAGGUCCUGAAUCUCCCACCCAGAGGCAGUGGAAAGUUGGAGAAUUAACUCUCAUGCGUGGAUCUGAUACAUAGCCACAGGUGGGAGAGUGACUCAUAUCUGAACCCAACUAAGAGGCACAGUCAUGAUUUUCAUACCUGGACCCAGCCAAUAUGAGAGGUGUUGACUCUCAUACCUGGACUUAGGAAAAGAGCCCACAGUAAAAAGUGUCACCCUCCCACAUGAAUAGAGACCACUGAUGAGCUUCUGAAUUGUACAUCUGGAUGCAGUUGAAAGCUGGAAUUCUGAUUCUCGUAUGUGCAUUUUGUCCAGAGGUAGAUGAUGACUCUAGGAUCAGGGUUCAUCACACAGGCCAUGCCAGUUGAGGGGGAUUGUGACAUAUCGUUGGACCAGCACAAGGGAAAUUGAAAACUCCUGCCUAGGCCAUUCCCAUAGAAGGCAUUGUGACAUAUCACUGGUCACAGCACACAGGUGAGAAUUUUACAUAAAACUGCACCCAGCACACAGGUGAAAUUGUGACUCUUGGAUGUUCAUCCAGCCAACAGUUAUGAGUGUCAUCAUCGCACAUGGACAGAGAACUCUGUUUAUCUACUUUAUUAUUACAUUCAAAGAACAGCACUAAUUUUACUCAGAUGUUAUUAUCCCUGAGUAACAAAUGAG